AUUUUUUUUUGUAAACAUAAAAUAAUAGGUUUUGACAAUAUUAAAACUUGUUUUAUCACUUGUACUUUGACAUUUCUUUAAUUUCUGAAGUAUUUUUUCCCUGUUCACCAAGAAAUAAUUAAAUCUGGUCUAUGUUUGUGUGACUGACAAUGAGACAAUUCUCCAUCCAAAUCAUAAUCAGUUUGGGGGCAACCCCUUAAUGUUAUAAAUAUCCCUUUUUUCAUGUUUUAUGAGGG
rnacentral:lncRNA from 1 species